CCAAACAAUUUAUUUUUUAUGCCUUAUUUUGCUAAAUUUUAGUAUGCAAUGAAAACCAGCACAUUGUGAGUAAUCUUUUGUUAACAUUACAUUUCAGACCCGAUGAUUCACACGUGUACACGCCGUUGGCUGAUUCCAGUUCAAGGUCGCACGUGUUUUACGAAAAUGUCAAGAAAGAGGACCCCGUUUACAACAACACGGUGAUGAAGAAUCCUGCGCAAACCGUUCUUUAAGUGGAUACUUCAAACCUCAAAUAAGAUGGUCUGACGCCGUUUGACUAUUUGAAGAUCUGGCAUUAAAUUUUCACAAUUGCAUUUUCUUUUCGAGUGAAAGAUUCAAUGAUACCAUUUCUUCAUUACUGCCUAUGAGAUGAGGAAAAUAUUGCAAAAAGAACAGAUAAUGCAUAUUUCUGUGUUCAUAUAUUCUUUGUAUAAAUAGUAUUGUAUCGAUAGUAUAUGCUGAAUUCGUAGAAUUUAUAAGAAGUGACACAAGGAACAAGACAUUAUGAAAUGAUUACAUAACGAUGACGUUAAAUGAUGAUGUUUUACCGGAAAAACUGCUCUUCACUGAUAAUGGUUAUUUUGUUGUUGAGUAUAGCUCCUCUUAAUAUAUAAUGCUAAAAUCAAUCAGCAAGUACAGAAACUAAAAAGUGUAAAAUUUGUUUAGUAUUUCAGGGAGCAUAAGUUAAAGAACAGUUAACUUCAUUAUUGAUGAAGCUGAUUGUCUACUGCACCCAAGUAAAUUCUAGUUAUCAAACUGCAUAGCUUUACAUGUUGAAUGCCUCUGUGAUAGAGGUCAUAUAUGCUUUUCAUGUCCAACAUAUUGUAGUAAUAAAUGGGUCAGGCUU